rnacentral:rRNA from 1 species
UCCAGACUCCUACGGGAGGCAGCAGUGAGGAAUAUUGGUCAAUGGCCGAGAGGCUGAACCAGCCAAGUCGCGUGAGGGAUGACGGCCCUACGGGUUGUAAACCUCUUUUGUCGGGGGGCAAAGAGAGUCACGUGUGGCUCUUUGAGAGUACCCGAAGAAAAAGCAUCGGCUAACUCCGUGCCGGCAGCCGCGGUAAUACGGAGGAUGCGAGCGUUUUCCGGAGUUAUUGGGUUUAAAGGGUGCGCAGGCGGAGGGGCAAGUCAGUGGUCAAAUUGCGGGGCUCAACCCCGUGCUGCCGUUGAAACUGCAUCCCUUGAGUGCGCGAGAAGUAUGCGGAAUGCGUGGUGUGGCGGUGAAAUGCAUAGAUAUCACGCAGAACUCCGAUUGCGAAGGCAGCAUACCGGCGCGCAACUGACGCUCAUGCGCGAAAGCGUGGGUAUAGAGCAGGAUUAGAUACCCCC